UACGUAGGGGGCAAGCGUUGUCCGGAAUCAUUGGGCGUAAAGCGCGCGUAGGCGGCCCGGUAAGUCCGCUGUGAAAGUCAAAGGCUCAACCUUUGAAUGUCAGCGGAUACUGCCGGGCUAGAGUCCGGAAGAGGCGAGUGGAAUUCCUGGUGUAGCGGUGAAAUGCGCAGAUAUCAGGAGGAACACCGGUGGCGAAGGCGCCACUCUGGGCCGAAACUGACGCUGAGGAGCGAAAGCGUGGGUAGCAAACAGG
rnacentral:rRNA from 1 species